rnacentral:rRNA from 1 species
UACGGGGGGCAAGCGUUGUUCGGAAUUACUGGCGUAAAGGCUCGUAGGCGGCCAACUAAGUCAGACGUGAAAUCCCAGGCUCAACCUGGAACUGCGUCUGAUACUGGAUGGCUUGAAUCCGGAGAGGGAUGCAGAAUUCCAGGUGUAGCGGUGAAUGACGUAGAUAUCUGGAGGAACACCGGUGGCGAAGGCGGCAUCCUGGACCCAACACUGACGCUGAGUGAGCGAAAGCCAGGGAGCAACGGG